AAUAAAUAAAGACAUUUUUUUAAUUUUUUCGAGUGAAAUAUUUCUAUUGAAGCCAUUUGUUAUAAGAUUAUAAUAAUUAAUUCCGCCAUAAAUGACAUUUUGCAAUGUCUACAAAAUAAUAAUAAUAUGAAUCCAUUAAAGCUAAAUGGUUAUUAAUCAUAUACGUGUAGAAAAUAAUAAUAAUAAUUAUAGUACCUUUCAUACUUAUUCUAUAUAAAUAUAUACUCGUAUUAUGCAUAGUGCAAACAGUAUCUGCCUAAUUAACUGAUUGUACUCAAUAAAUGGAUUGGUGCCACAUAAUU